rnacentral:sRNA from 1 species
UUAAAUCGCUGAAACCAAUCAGGUACGGGGGAACCAUUUUUAUGGAUUAAUCAAUAAUCCAUGGGGUGAAUCCAUUCAAGGUAGGGCUACUCUAGGCCCGAACCCGACAGCUAACCUCGUAAGCGUUAUAUGAGAAG